rnacentral:rRNA from 1 species
GAUGAACGCUGGCGGCGUGCCUAAUACAUGCAAGUCGAGCGAACAGAUGAGGAGCUUGCUCCUCUGACGUUAGCGGCGGACGGGUGAGUAACACGUGGAUAACCUACCUAUAAGACUGGGAUAACUUCGGGAAACCGGAGCUAAUACCGGAUAAUAUAUUGAGCCGCAUGGUUCAAUAGUGAAAGACGGUUUUGCUGUCACUUAUAGAUGGAUCCGCGCCGCAUUAGCUAGUUGGUAAGGUAACGGCUUACCAAGGCAACGAUGCGUAGCCGACCUGAGAGGGUGAUCGGCCACACGGGAACUGAGACACGGUCCAGACUCCUACGGGAGGCAGCAGUAGGGAAUCUUCCGCAAUGGGCGAAAGCCUGACGGAGCAACGCCGCGUGAGUGAUGAAGGUCUUCGGAUCGUAAAACUCUGUUAUUAGGGAAGAACAAAUGUGUAAGUAACUAUGCACGUCUUGACGGUACCUAAUCAGAAAGCCACGGCUAACUACGU